UUAAACUAAAGAGUUUGAUCCUGGCUCAGAUUGAACGCUGGCGGCAUGCCUUACACAUGCAAGUCGAACGGCAGCACGGAGCUUGCUCUGGUGGCGAGUGGCGAACGGGUGAGUAAAAUAUCGGAACGUACCCAGGAGUGGGGGAUAACGUAGCGAAAGUUACGCUAAUACCGCAUACGUCCUAAGGGAGAAAGUGGGGG
rnacentral:rRNA from 1 species